rnacentral:lncRNA from 1 species
CCGCCUUCCCUGAGCCCCACCCACUCCGGGCACUCACUCCCACCUUUAAUCAGCCACGUGUGACGCCAUGACGCGUGCGUGGCCGCGGCGCAGGGGGCGGGCCCGCGGCGCGCCACCGGAGGAGGAAGUGGUGCGGUUGUUGCUCCCUCUGCACCCACUGCUGGCUCGCGGGGCGCGGAGAGGGGCAACUACCACCGCCGCCGCUCUGGCUCCCUCCUUACUACUGUUUCCCUCCAUGUGCUCCGGCGCCGUCUCUCCCCUUCCUCAGGCCGCCGCUUACCCCGGGGUCUAUGGAAGUAAUGGAAGGACCCCUCAACCUGGCUCAUCAACAGAGCAGAAGAGCAGAUCGCUUAUUAGCCGCAGGGAAAUACGAAGAGGCUAUUUCUUGUCACAAGAAGGCUUCAGGUGAGUAUUCUUUUAAAGAAAUAUCAAGUCUAAAACUGGAGGGCAAUUUCUUUUCUCCAGUAUCUCACAAUAGUUUAUUUAGAACGAAAGUCACAAUAGUAAUGAUGUGUUGUUGGUCUGCAUCUACAAGGUUGACAGUAUUGACCCCUCAGAAGGUCAGUUUGGACUGUUUGUCAGGGGAGUAUGUUGGAUUUCCCAGUUCUUUCUAAUCUGGUCUUUCUAAACCAUGAAGGUUGCAUAUGCAGUACUGGUAAAUCACUCCUAGACACAGCUUUUGGAACCUGGAGAACCCUAAAGAUAGAAGUAAUUGAAAGAAAUCUGCCAAUACAUCUUAGUUGUUAUGGAAAAUGGAUUUCAAUUAGCCAGCCAUUUUGGGUUAUGAGAGUAAUAACUAACUUAAUUCUAUUUCAUUUUCACUGAAUUUCUAAGAUGCUGAUAAUAUUCUUUCCUAUGGUCUUCCUUAGUUUCCUUCUGAAUAUUUCAUCUGUACAUUCAUGGCUAUGGUGUCAUCUGAUGAUAGCUUUCUUUUAGGUAUGAAAUUUAGAAUUAAUGAUUUCUUAACAGACACCUAAUUUUAUCUCAGUCAGUCCCACAGUCUAGCAUGUGUUGAACUCAGAUUUCAAGGGUCUGCUUUGUACAGACUGGUUUCAAUUGGCUAAUUAGCCUAAAAGCUUCGGGGAAAGAGUGUUUUACUUAUGCUGCAUUCAAAAUAGGCCACCUUUCUUAGAACAAAUCCUAUAGUCUUUCUGCUAGAGGAAGACACUUUCUUUUCCUUCUAGGCCACUGCAAUGAUUAAAGCCAAGUUCUUUCUUGGCAGAGUACCCUUCCAGUGUUGCCUUACUGCUGAAAUACCACAUAGUGGAUACUGGUUUGAAUAAGUCAUAUCUGUGAUUUUUAGAAAAAAAUUCAAGUAUUAUUUAAAAAAAAUUUUUUUUAAGUAUUUUUGAGAGGGAGAGAGAUACAGCAAGCAGGGAGGAGCAGAGAGAGAAAGGAAAUACAGAUGUGGGGCUUGAACUCACCAACUGUGAGAGAUCAUGACCUGAGCCAAAGUCAGAUGCUUAACUGACUAAGCUACCCAGGUGUCCCUUAAGUCUUAUUUUUAAAGAAUGAGUUUUGCCACUGAAGUGUACUCCGUCAGCUGAAGGGCUGAGUGCAUAAUACGUACCCCAUAAAUCUUUGUGAAUUUUUACAGGGAGUUUUAUUGGGAGCUUUAUACAACAUUAAACUUGGCAGCUAGUGCACUUUAAAUCUUUCAUAAACUUUAUUUUGUUAUGAAUGAAAUUGUUAUAGUCACUAUACAGAAAAGUCAGUGUACUGGAUUGCCUGAGUGGCUCUGUCAGUUAAGUGUCUGACACUUGAUUUCUACUGAGGUCACAAUCUAACUGUUCAGUUCAAGCUACACAUCAGGCUCUAUGCUUCGGAGCCUGCUUGGGAUUCUCAUUCUCUCUCUCUCUCUCUCUCUCUCUCUCUCUCUCUCUCUCUCAGCCCUUCCUCCGCUCACAUGCACUCUCUCUCAAAAUAAAUAAACUAAAAAAAAAAAGACAAGACAAUGUAUUGCACUAUUAAAAAAAAAGUGUUGGGGAUGAAUGCCACAGUGAAAUAAUACCUUAAUUUAAAUAACCCAGAGUCUUCAUGGUUAUAUGUAUAUAAAAUACAUCGCAGUGGAGUGAUCAGCAUAUGUUGUGCAUUGAGCAGUAGAAGAUUUUGAAUAUAUAAAAGGGAGAAAUGUUUCUUUUAUUCCUAAUCUGCCUCCCUUUCUUUGAGACGUAAAAACUGAUGUUGGGCUUUACACACCUUUCCCCACUUCCUCAGUAUCCACAAUCUGUGACAUUCUCAGGAGUAGAAAAGAUAAAGGCAGCCUUUUGGAUCCCAUUAGUUUUAAUUAGGGACAUAGAACUCAAGUGUGAUCGGUUAAUCCCCCUGAGCUGAUUUUAUUUGGAGUUUAGACUUGGUUAAAAAUAGCCUUGUGUGAUUUUUAGAGUGGAGUUGUGAAUGUAAUGCUAGUUUGAAAAUUGACGUGGUUGGAAUAAGCUUAGUAUUUUCUAAAUGGACUUAUAUCUAGGGCUUAUCACAGAGAUGUUUUGGGAGGUAUGGAUGUAAGUAUAUUCUGAGGGGAAUUAUUUUAGAAAUAUGACAGGGAAGGGGUGUCUGGGUGGCUCAGUUGGUUAAGUGUCCAACUUAAGCUCAGGUCAUGAUCUCACCGUUUGUGGGUUCGAAUCUUAUGUCAGGUUCUGUGCUGACAGCUUGGAGUCUGGAGCCUGCUUCCAAUUCUGUGUCUCCUUCCCUCUCUGCCCCUCCCCUGCUCGCUCUCUCUCUCUCUCUCUCUCUCUCUCUCUCAAUAAUAAAUAAACAUUUAAAAAAAAGAAUUUUCUUAAAAGAAAUAUGACAGGGAAGGUCAUCAUCUGAGAAUGAUGAAAAGGAAAGCGUGAAAUAGAGAACUAAGGGCAAAGGAGGUGCCUCUUCUCCAACUAUCAGAGAUCAGAGGAGAUUCUGAGAUAUAAACAUUUAUCCUGAGAUUACAUGGCUAAACUGCAUAGCAUCUAUACUUUGUGGUGUUCUGGUGGAUUUUUUGUUUGUUUUAAGGAAGCUGUAUACCUGAUGUGGGGCUUGACUCACGACCUCAAGAAAGUGUAAGAAACCACAAACUCCCAGGGCUCCAGGAUUGUCAGAAAAAUCUGGCGCUUAAAAACCUUGAUUAGCAGCUAUAGCUGGAUUGAAUUCUUGCUCAUAGUCUUGCACAGUCCAUUUGCUUAUGUAAGUUUCUUUGCUUUGACAAACAGCAAAAAGAACAAAAGCUUAAAUGCAAAGUUGAUAAUAGCCAUUUACAAUGCUUAGAACUCAAGCGCUUCAGAAGAUGAGUAGACCUGAGAGUUCACAGUGUCUACAAGUACUUGGUCUAAUACCUGUCUUGAUCUGGACCUUCCCAUGAAGCUGUGGUAGCAUGAAAAUGAUUCUGAGCUGAUCAGUCUUUGUUAUUAAAGGGCAAUAUUUUGCUGUGUGUAUGAGAUUUUCAGUUGUGAUUCUGGAACAAAUUCAUGACUAUGCAAUCAGAUUAAAUUUUUUUCUUUUAUUAAGACCCACAUUUUAUUUAUUUGUCUUUUACAUUUUCUUUUUAAGUAAUCUCUAUGCCCAAUGUGAGGCUUGAACUCACAACCUCAAGAUCAGGAGUCAUACACUUUACCAACUGAGCCAGCCAGAUGUCCCCUUAAGACCCAAAUUAUAAAUUGAAACGCGAGAAAUACUUUAAGUGACAGUGUGACUAUUGUUGGUUGUUUUGGCUUUGGAAAUUCAUGUCCUUGGGUGUCCUCUACUAUUGUGCUACAGUUUCAAGGUUCUACAAAGUCAGUCCAGUUGGUUUAAGCCUGGUUUUUAUGAAACUAUUCCAUUUGUGUAAAAGCAAACUAUAGUUCAGAUGGGGAGACAAAGGUAUGUGGACAUAAUAGGAAAGAUGUUUAAGGAAAGUUCAUCCACACUAUCAGUGCAAUAGAUAUAAUGUCUCCAGAGCCUUAAAAAUGAAGAAAAGGAGAAAGAAAUCAUCUGUAUGCAGUUAUACAGACUUAACUAUAGGAAUAAAAGACAAAAAGUUGAAAAAAUUUAAGUAUGGCUAGAGCACAGGCUUCAGAGCCUCUGUUCUCUGUUGGGGAAGGACCAUCCAGUUAAUCUGUAUCUUAAAGAUUACUGGCAGGCAACAGUUCUAAGUCACAAACUCUAAAUCAUUAAAAUAUUUGGCUUAAGAUGACAGAAACAUUGCCUUGUAUCUGCAAAAAAGGAACUUAAUGUGGAGGUGAGAGAUACUGGAAAGUUGAUAAUAAGCAAGAAAUAAGAAAUGGAGAUUGUACAUGAUCUAU